rnacentral:rRNA from 1 species
GUUGGGUAGGGGAGCGUUCUGUAAGCCUGUGAAGGUGGCCUGUGAGGGUUGCUGGAGGUAUCAGAAGUGCGAAUGCUGACAUAAGUAACGAUAAAGCGGGUGAAAAGCCCGCUCGCCGGAAGACCAAGGGUUCCUGUCCAACGUUAAUCGGGGCAGGGUGAGUCGACCCCUAAGGCGAGGCCGAAAGGCGUAGUCGAUGGGAAACGGGUUAAUAUUCCCGUACUUGGUGUUACUGCGAAGGGGGGACGGAGAAGGCUAUGUUGGCCGGGCGACGGUUGUCCCGGUUUAAGCGUGUAGGUGUGUGUUCCAGGUAAAUCCGGUUCACUUUAACACUGAGGCGUGAUGACGAGGCACUACGGUGCUGAAGUAACAAAUGCCCUGCUUCCAGGAAAAGCCUCUAAGCAUCAGGUAACAUCAAAUCGUACCCCAAACCGACACAGGUGGUCAGGUAGAGAAUACCAAGGCGCUUGAGAGAACUCGGGUGAAGGAACUAGGCAAAAUGGUGCCGUAACUUCGGGAGAAGGCACGCUGACACGUAGGUGAAGUGAUUUACUCACGGAGCUGAAGUCAGUCGAAGAUACCAGCUGGCUGCAACUGUUUAUUAAAAACACAGCACUGUGCAAACACGAAAGUGGACGUAUACGGUGUGACGCCUGCCCGGUGCCGGAAGGUUAAUUGAUGGGGUCAGCGCAAGCGAAGCUCCUGAUCGAAGCCCCGGUAAACGGCGGCCGUAACUAUAACGGUCCUAAGGUAGCGAAAUUCCUUGUCGGGUAAGUUCCGACCUGCACGAAUGGCGUAAUGAUGGCCAGGCUGUCUCCACCCGAGACUCAGUGAAAUUGAACUCGCUGUGAAGAUGCAGUGUACCCGCGGCAAGACGGAAAGACCCCGUGAACCUUUACUAUAGCUUGACACUGAACAUUGAGCCUUGAUGUGUAGGAUAGGUGGGAGGCUUUGAAGUGUGGACGCCAGUCUGCAUGGAGCCGACCUUGAAAUACCACCCUUUAAUGUUUGAUGUUCUAACGUGGACCCGUUACCCGGGUUGCGGACAGUGUCUGGUGGGUAGUUUGACUGGGGCGGUCUCCUCCUAAAGAGUAACGGAGGAGCACGAAGGUUGGCUAAUCCUGGUCGGACAUCAGGAGGUUAGUGCAAUGGCAUAAGCCAGCUUGACUGCGAGCGUGACGGCGCGAGCAGGUGCGAAAGCAGGUCAUAGUGAUCCGGUGGUUCUGAAUGGAAGGGCCAUCGCUCAACGGAUAAAAGGUACUCCGGGGAUAACAGGCUGAUACCGCCCAAGAGUUCAUAUCGACGGCGGUGUUUGGCACCUCGAUGUCGGCUCAUCACAUCCUGGGGCUGAAGUAGGUCCCAAGGGUAUGGCUGUUCGCCAUUUAAAGUGGUACGCGAGCUGGGUUUAGAACGUCGUGAGACAGUUCGGUCCCUAUCUGCCGUGGGCGCUGGAGAACUGAGGGGGGCUGCUCCUAGUACGAGAGGACCGGAGUGGACGCAUCACUGGUGUUCGGGUUGUCAUGCCAAUGGCACUGCCCGGUAGCUAAAUGCGGAAGAGAUAAGUGCUGAAAGCAUCUAAGCACGAAACUUGCCCCGAGAUGAGUUCUCCCUGAGACUUAAAGUCUCCUGAAGGAACGUUGAAGACGACGACGUUGAUAGGCCGGGUGUGUAAGCGCAGCGAUGCGUUGAGCUAACCGGUACUAAUGAACCGUGAGGCUUAACCUUACAACGCCGAAG